rnacentral:rRNA from 1 species
CAGUAGCCGCGGUAAUACGAGGGGGGCAAGCGUUGUUCGGAAUUAUUGGGCGUAAAGGGCGCGUAGGCGGUUUGGCAAGUUUGGUGUGAAAUCUUCGGGCUCAACUCGAAGUCUGCAUCGAAAGCUGCCGGGCUUGAGUAUGGGAGAGGUGAGUGGAAUUUCCGGUGUAGCGGUGAAAUGCGUAGAUAUCGGAAGGAACACCUGUGGCGAAAGCGGCUCACUGGACCAUUUCUGACGCUGAUGCACGAAAGCUAGGGGAGCAAACAGGAUUAGAUACCCGUGUAGUCCCUGUCUCUUAUAC